CCAGGCGUUGGAGCGGGCAGGAGCUCACAGCCCACCCCCCCACGCACCCCCCCCCAAUCCCGGGAUACAGGCUGGUUUUGGAGCUAUAUUUAAAGCGUGCAGUCAGUGGCUGGAUUUAGAAACCCAGGCAUAAAUCACAUUAAAACACGGACGGGGACGAUCCCAACGCGUCGGCAAAGCUUUGCCCUGAUUUCAUUGCCCCCCCUCCCAAUCUUAAAAGCAGAACCGAGACCGACAGCGGGGUCCCGUCCCCCCCAAAUAAAACCAGAGGUGGGUAUUUGAAGGCAAGGGGGUCCCUGCUGGGAUUUAUUCCGAUGAAUCCUGGGGGACUUAUUCAUCGAUGGGGGGGGUUGGUUAAUUCAAAAGCCCGGGGUCGCCGUCCCCCCCCCCCGCCCCCUUGCCUGCAAGGAAAGAGCUGCCGUCCAUGGGGAGGGGGCUGCGGGUUGGGGGGUCCCCAUGGGGAGAUCCCUGGGAAAACAGCUUGGGAACCCAGCAAAGAAUUCCUGAUUAAUGAUCAGAACAGCUCGGGAUUUCGUUUUUCUCCAUAAAUCCUGGCUGAUUAUAAACCCUGCGCUCAGCCUGGCUGUGGGCUUUGCAUGGGACAGGGGGGGUACCCAAGAAAUCCACCCCCCCGUCCCCCCCAGGGGCCAUACCCAAUGCCCAGCCGCAGCUGAAGGCUGCAGCAUCCUUGUACCAUCCCGGCCCCGCUGACCCACCGCCCCGCCGGCGUGGGACAAGGACUUGGGGGGGUGACACACAGGGACACGGGUGGUGCCCCCCACCGCCCCCCCCCACCGCCCCAUUCACAGCAGUUCCGAUCCCGCAGCUCCAGGGUUUGGAAAGCCAAACGUCUCCCAAACCGCAGUCUGGUUUUCAAGUCCAAAUAAAGCCUGCUGGAUUUUUUUCCCUGCCCGGCACAGGACGGCGGGUGCAUAUGCACAAAUCCUCCCUGCUUUCCCGCUCUGCCACCUGUGCGCUUGCUUGUCCCCCCCCAAACCCCGAGCUGGGACCCCCCCCAUGUCAGGAUCUGCCCCAUGCUGGGUGCCCCGUGCUUCUCACACCCUCCACGAAGCCCCUAGUACUGGGCUUUUGUCACAGCUAGACUGCAUCUUUGAUAGAUUGGGGUGGUUUAUUUUCUUUUUUUUUUUUUCCCUUUUACCCAAUAAUAAGCUUUUUUCAUCCAAGACCAGGAAAAAAUAGGCAGGGAGGAGGGCUGACAUGCACAACCCAUAGAGAGCUUUGAGAGGAGCACGAAUCCCAAAGCUGUAAUUACUGCCUGCGUUUUUCGGCUACGGACCGGCCGCUAAAUUGGUUGUAAGGCGCGGAAACGGCAGUUACACCUUUCAGCGGAAAAAAUGUGGUUUAGCAGAGAAACGUGCAUGGGAAACCUCCCCAAAUCUGCAAUCCCUAUAUAACAACCCAGUAUUACAGAUUCUGCAUUUGUGAGUUUAAAACAAUCCCACGUCCAGGUGAACAGGAAUACUGAGCUCCGAAUGACAAGAUCUUCUACAUCAACAGAGUGAAAUAGGGAUUUUUCCCUUGAUCUGUCAGUUAAAUCAAAAAUACCCUCCUGGAUGCAGGACACGAGCGAGCGAGAGGCAGUAGCAUGUGCUAUUUUGAGGUUUGAUAUAAAAUAGAUACCCUUGGCUUCAGCAUUUCUCCGUAGCCCGGCCCACAGGAGCUGCAGGUACUUUCGUAUGCAUACAAAACAUUUUAAAAUGGAAAAUAUUCACAGCUGCUCUUGCCGUUUUGACAGGGGGAAAGGAAUCGCGGGGCAUGUUAAGGAGAUAUUAAAAGCUGUGGUUUGAAGCUCCUAAAGCAUUUACUCAGCGGGAGAUCCAGAGAAAGAAGUUUAGAAGUUAACUGCAUACUUGUGUGCCUUUGCUCUGUCCUUCUUAAAAUUCACCUCUCCUAUCUGCUUCUAAUUUAAACAAGCAGAGCCCUCCAGGAACUGGAAAAUCCAGAUUUGCAGCAUCUCCCAGGGAAAGACGUUUUGCUACGUGCCCCCCCAGCACGAGGGUCCUGCUGAAGGUUAAACUCGCAAGUGCCUCUGCUUUUGCACCAAGUUAAUCUCCCCCCCCCCCAAAAAAUAAAAGACCAGGGAAAUGCCAGUGAAAACUGCCUCGAUGUUGCCGGCUGGGCCCUGGCUUGGUCCUGUCCCUCUUCCAGAGCCAGGCAGGGAUUUCACCACCGCUGCCGGCAUUAAAUGCUCGACCCCGCUCCGUGCCCUGGCCUGCUUCGUCUUCCCUGCCUGAAAACAAGAAAAAAAGACGGGAUGCAAAACCUGUUCCCAAAAAUACCCCGAAGAAGCAAGCAGGAACCUGCCCGCGAGGAAAUGGGUCCCUAAGGCUGAAUCCGGCCUGCAGCUGCCAGCAAAAGCACGUGCUGGGUGUCACAGGGAUGGGAAUAGCCCGCUGUGACGAACGUGGAGUAAAUCAAAGUCAUUAACAGGCAGGGCUGGGAGGGAAGGCUGCCAGUCCUGCCCUCCCUGCAGCCACCGUGCCGGAGGCUCCUUUCCCCGCUCCCUUUGGGGUCCAUCAAGCCGGCCCCAUCCGCAGCAUCCCUCCAUCACCUCGUGGCCCAGGAUCCGCCACCGCCAUACGGAGAAACCGAGCGCCGGGCAGGGAAGAAACCCUUGGGAAACCCGUGCAGCAGGAGUUUUCCCCGUGUCCACGAAGGCGCUGGCUCCUCGCAUCCCUCUUGGGUAUUUUAUACGUCCAUCCAACGAUCACACCCGCCUGGCAGUCCCCUGCCACAGCCUACGCCGGGUACCAAACUGCUGAUGCUAAACACGUGAGAUGGGUUCAGCGGUGCAAGAGGGGAAGAAAUACCUGUGGUUCCAAGCCCUCGAGCAUCUUAUUAGACCCCAGUGUUUCCUCUCACCCCAAACACCAACCCAAGGAGGGGGGGUGUCCAUGGCUGGCUCCCAGGGCUAUCCCCUCGCUUUUCCCAUCACCCCAGUCCUCUGCACGGCCCCAAGUGAAGCCAAGGGGGAAGGAGCGGUUGGACGAGACGAGCCCUUUCUGCUCCACAAAGCUCGUCAGCCGGCAGCACUGGGCUUAUAAUUACUAUUUCCUUAAAGACGAGCCGAGCAGCUAUAGACAAAAAAAGUCCCCUCUUGUCGGAGCUGGAAUUUGAUGUCCUAACGACUGUUUUUGUACCGUGCCUGUUAGAGGAAAGAGCUCGGCAGGAGGGGGAAAGAGAGAUUUAAUUAUAGAGCUGCAUUGUGAUUUUGCACACAUAGCUGGCUGUUGUAAUCAGGUUACAAGUGUAUCUGAUUUUCUUCCCUCCCCUCCCUCUUCCUCCUCUUUCUCUUUCUUUUCUUUUUUUUUUUCCUCCCCCUUUUUCCUUUCGGUGGUCCAAAUUAGUUGCUUAUGUUUGGGUGUUGCAGAGACGAGCUGUUAUUUGGCUUCGCUGAAGAUCUUGAUCAAGGGAACAGUGUUUCCAAAGAGGCUCAGCAGCUCUUUGCCAGAGAAAAACGACGGUUCCCAGCUCCGGCAGAAACCCGCCGGGCUGUGCCGGGCACUCGCAUCCCACCAUCCCAGGGUUCCCCUCCCACUGCCACAAUAAGGGGACACACACAUAUACAUCUGUCGUCCGCCCCCCACCCCGUGCUCCCCAUCAAAUUCCUGCACAUCCAGAAUUCCCUCAAUAAAUAAGAGGCUUUUGAAGAAGAGGAGGAGCCCUAUUUACCUCUAUUGGGGUAAGAGGAGGAAAGAGAGGAGAAAAGAGCAUUUUUAAAAGCAACUUUAUAUUUUUCUAUCCAAGGCAAGUGAUGCCGCACUUGGAUUGGGGACUGUUGUUGGGUUCAUUUAGGAACCCAUUGUUGUCCAUGUGAAUUCUUUUUUACAUUUCAAAUAACAGGAUUAUUUCCCCAGGGGGUAAUAUCCUGUAAUUUGAACACAAUAAUGGGAAUAAAUUACUUACUUAGAACUAAUAACGACAGGCUGAUUCCAAUAUAUAUAGGAACUGUAACAGCUUUGGUUAGUUAAAGUGUAAUUGUGUCGACGGAUGACAUUUUCUUUCAAAGGAAUCUGAAUGACUUUUAAUUAAAUUUGCUGGGGGUGGGGAAGAGAGGGAGAGACACGCUGGGAGAUCUCAGCUGCCAGGGCUGCCGGCGGGUCCCAGCCGUGGUGCCCCAAGCCGAGCAUCGCCCCACGGUUGCAGAGUUUCCAGACCAUAACAGGGGAGAAGGAAACCGUCACCGAGCCCCAUGGCCAAAGGCAGGUUUGCAAGGUUUGCAGGACAAGGAGAAGGGACAGCUUCCCCCCCACCCCAGUUUGCCCACUUUAGCAUUCCCAGGGGGCCAGAUUGCCACCAUCCAGACGGGACCGCGCUGCCCCAGCCGCCGCUGGGCCAUCCCCGGCCUCGAGCACGGAUGCUGCGUUUCAGCCAUCGCCAUCGAGAUGCAGGGAUGCUGCGGCGAGAGCCCAUCGGGCUCCCGGGGCACUCGGCCUGUCCC